GAAAAAUGAGCAAAUGACAUUUAAAUACAUAGCCAGUAACCAUAAAAAGGUGUUUAAUCUCUAACAAUCAGCGAAAUAAAAAUUAUAAUGAAAUUGAAAUAUUUUACUUGUUAUAUUGGUUUAUAAUAAGUAAAUAAUGUCAUCCUGACCUCUCCUUCGUAUUCACUCCAUCUUUGCAUGCUUUCUUUCCUAAAUAGAGCCUAAAUCUUUUUUAUUUUUCUUUUUACUUCCACUGUCAUUGUGCUUUAGUUCACUAAGUAUUAGAGAUGAUAUGGAAUAUAGGAAUUCUUUUUUUUUUCAAUUAUAGUUGAUUCACAAUAUUGUGCCAACUUCUGCUAUAUAGCAAAGUGACCUAGUCAUACAUAUAUAUACAUUCUCUUUCUUAUAGUACCUUCCAUCGUGGUCUGUCCCAAGGAGACUUGAUAUAGUUCCCUGUGCUCUACAGUGGGAUUUCAUUGCUUAUCCAUUCUUUUUUUUUUUUUCUUUUUGCUUUUUAAGCCUUCACUUGCAGCAUAUGUAGGUUCCCAGGCUAGGGUCAAACUGGAGCCACAGCCCCUGCCGGCCUACGCCACAGCCACAGCAACACAGGAUCCAUGCCACGUCCGCCACCUACAGCACAGGUCAUGGCAACACCAGAUCCUUAACCUACUCAUCGAGGCCAGGGAUCGAGCCCUCAACAUCAUGGUUACUAGUCAGAUUCGUUUCCGCUGCUGCACCACAAUGGGAACUCCCAUUGCUUACCCCUUCUAAAUGUAAUAGUUUGCAUCUACUAAUCUCAAAUUCCCAGUCCCCUCCCCUUGGCAACCACAAGUCUGUCCUCUAUGUCUGUGAGUCUAGUUCUGUUUUAUAGUUUCAUUCGUGUUAUAUUUUGGAUUCCACAUAUAAGUGAUAUUAUGUGGUAUAUGUCUUUCUGACUUCCUUCACUUAGUAUGAGAAGUUCUGAUUGCAUCCAUGUUGCCAUAAAUGGCAUAUUUUUGUUCUUUUUUAGGCUGAAUGUGUGUGUGUGUAUAUAUAUGGACAUGUUCGUUGAUGGACAUGUUCGUUGUUGAUGGACAUGUUCGUUGUUUCUAUGUCUUGGCUAUUGUGAAUAGUGCUGCUAUGAACAUAUAGGUGCAUGUAUCUUUCAGUUUAUGUGUCUUUUACCCUAAGGUGAGUCUCUUGUAGACAUCACGUUGUAGGCUAUUUUUUUAUUUUUAAAAUUUUUAUUUUUUAAUUAACUAAUUAAUUAAUUUAGGUUUUUUGGGCCAUACCCGCAGCAUAUGGAGGUUCCCAGUCUAGGGGUGGAAUCACAGCUACAGCUGCCUGGCCUAUGCCACAGCCACAGCAAUGUGGGAUCCAAGCUGCAUCUGCAAACUAUAUCACAGCUCAUGGCAAUGCUGGAUCCUUAACUCACUGAAUGAUGCCAAGGAUCAAACCACAUCCUCAUGGAUACUAGACUUGGUUUCCUCUGAGCCACAUGGGAACUCCAUUUUUUUUUUAUUCCAAUCUGCCACUCUAUGUGUUUUGAUUGUAGCAUUCAGUCCAUUGACAUUUAAGGUAAUUAUUGAUAAAUAUGUAUUCUUUGCUGUUUUAAACCUUGUUUUCCAUUUGAGUCUAUGUUUCUCCCCUGUUCCUUCCUUUUUCUUUAUUUGGUUGGAUGAUUUCCUUUUAUGCUUUGUGCGUUUCUUUUUGGUUUUUGUGAAUGUAUUGUUUGGUUUUGAUUUGUGUUUGCCCCAUUUUUCAAGUAUGUUAAUACCUUUCUAUAUCUGCUUGCUUAUCCUGAUUGUCAUAUAGGCUCAAAUACAUUCUUAAAAAAAAAAAGUCUAGAUUUUCUUAUUCUCCUUCCCAUAUUUUAUGAUUUUGAUAUUCUUUUUUUUCAUAUUUAUGUUGAUCCUUUUGCUAUUCCUUGUAUUUAUCAUUACUUUCACAAAUAGAUUUGUUUUACUUUUUGAUCUGAAAACUGGCUUAUUUAAGUGAUCAUUUUCUAAUUGUGAUUUCUUCCAUCCUGUUACUUCUUAUCUCUUUCCUAUUUAGAGGAGAGUUUUCAGUAUUUCUUUUAGAAGAGUUUAGUAUUGCUGUAUUCUUUUGGUUUUUAUUUGAGAAAUUCCUUAUUUCUCAUAUUUUAAAUGAUAAUCUUGCUGGGUAGAGUAUUCUAGGCUGCAAAAUUUUCCCUUUUAGAACUUCGAAUGUAUCUUGCCACUCUUUUCUGGCCUGUAGUGUUUCUGUAGAACUUUUUUUUUUUUAAUUAGAGUACAGUUGAUUUACAGUGUUGUGUCAACUUCUGCUGUAUAGCAAAGUGACUCAGUCAUACAUGUAUAUUCAUUUUUUUACUCAUAUUGUCUUCCAUCAUGUUCUAUCACAAGUGAUUGGAUAUAGUUCCUUCUGCUGUAGAGCAGGACCUCACUGCUUAUCCAUUUUAAAUGUAAUAGUUUGCAUCUACUAACCCCAAACUCUCAGUCAUUCCCAUUGCUUCUCUCCUUGGCAACCACAAGUUUGUUCUCCACAUCCAUGAGUUUGUUUGUUUGUUUUUUUUUUCUGUAGAUAGAUUCAUUUGUGCCAUAUAUUAGAUUCAAGAUAUUAGCAAUAUCAUAUGGUAUUUGUCUUUCUCUUUCUGACUUACUUCACUUAGUAUGAGAGUCUCUAGUUCCAUCCAUGUUGUUGCAAAUGACAUUAUUUUGUUUUUUUUUAUGGCUGAGUAGUAUUCCAUUGUGUAUAUAUACCACUGCGUGGCUCUCUUUCUGCAUUGUUCUCCUCAGACCAGCUGCUCUGCUUUUCUGAAAGGCUUUCAAUCUACCCCUCUCUACCCCAGGUAUCUCCCUGUCAGUUAGGUGGUCUCCCAAUGUGCUGAUUCCUUUCCUCUUACACAACUUCCUUCCCAGAGUGCUGAUCCUAUCCUGAUAUCUUUUUUUUCUCUUCCUUCUCCCCCCUACCCCCACUCACCUUUUGUUCUACCCAGUUAUGUGGAGGAUUUCUUGCCCUUUUUGGAAGUUUGAGGUCUUCUGUAAGCAUUCGGUAGCUGUUCUAUGUGAAUUGUUCUGUAGAUGGGUUUUUUUGAGGUGUUUGUGGGAGAAGGUGAGCACCACAUCCUAUUCCUCUGCCAUCUCGAUCCCACUCUCAGAAAUUCUUAUAUAAUGACCUUGGAAGUGUAAAUUAACAAACUUCUUUGGAAAGCAAGUUGGGGAGUUUCUGUCAUGGUUCAGCAGAAACAAAUCUGUCUAGCAUCCAUGAGUAGGCAGGUUUGAUCCAUGGCCUUGCUCAGUGGGUUCAGUAUCCCAUGUUGCCAUGAGCUGUAGUAUAGGUCACAGAUGUGACUCAGAUCUUAUGUUUCUGUGGCUUGUGGUGUAGGCCAGCAGCUAUAGCUCCGAUUCCACCCUUUGCCUGGGAACCUCCGUAUACCAUGGGUGCAGCCCUAAAAAGAAAAAAAAAAAAAAAAAAAAAAAAAAAAAAGUCAAGAUUAUCUUGAAGAUAUGAACAUGGAAAUACCCUAUAACCAAAUAAUUCAUACUUAAUAUAUACCCAGAAGAAUUUUUGUAAUGUGCCCAGAAUACUGGCUCCUGGCAAAUUAUUCAUGAUAGCCAAGAGCUAGAAUUUUAAAAAUCCUUUGUCAAGAGAAUUGAUAUAUAAAUUGUACUACAUUUACACAAUGGAAUGUUUGGUAUACAGCAGUGAAAAUGAAUAAGCUCCAGCUGUACUCUGUCAUGUAAGAAUCUUAGAUAUCUAGUGUUGAGUAAAAGAGAAGUUCUAAAAGAUCCUAACCAGCGUGACACCAUUAAAAUAAUGCUGAAACACACAAAUUAAGCAACAUUUUUAGACAUUAAAAUUUAAUAAAGCUGUUUGUAAAAAGCAAAGACAAACACAAAAUGCAGAAUAGUGCUUUAUUUCUGGUUUAUUAGAAGAGAAAUACACAGAUGCAAAUUAUUCAUAAUGGUGUUCAUUGGACAGUAGUUUUGACAGCAUUGUAUAUGUUCUUACACUUUACAACAUAAAUAUAUACUAAUAAAUUAUAUGUCAUACAUGUAUUUGUUUUAUUUAUUUUUAUUUUUUGUCUUUUUUUGUCUUUUGAGGGCUGCACCCUCGGCAUAUGCAGGUUCCCAGGCUAGGGGUCUAAUCAGAGCUGAUGCCACUGGCCUACGCCAGAGCCACAGCAACAUCAGAUCUGAGCCGCAUCUGUGACCUACACCACAGCUCAUGGCAAUGCCAGAUCCUUAACCGACUGAACGAGGCCAGGGAUUGAACCUGAAACCUCAUGGUUCCUAGUCAGAUUUGUUUCUGGUGUCCACAACAGGAACUCCUUGCUAAAAAUACCUUUUUUACCUAAGUGCCAGAAUGACUUACCAACCACCAAAACAAAAAGCAGUGUAUUGAAGCAAAUAAAUCAGAAAAAAAAAAAAUCUGAUUUACUAAACUGGAGGAAAUGUAACAUUCAUUGAAAAGCACCUGAGGAUUUUCUGUGCUAACAUCCAGCAGGGGAAAUAAACCUGUGAAAAUGACAAAGUAGAGUCAGGAUCAAUUAUUAUAGGGUUUUGGAUUUCUUUAGAAAUCUUAGUAUGGUUCACUGUUGGAGGUAGUGGCGAAAACAGCAAAAUGAAAUAAAAGAGGAAAUUGUUCAAUUGUCUUUUUUAAUCCUUCACUUUGUCCCUAUUCCUUUUUGGACAAGUUUCCAGCGUCUUUGCUUACACAUGGGCCCUUCCUUUUAGGGUCUCUGAUUUCUCUGCCUGCCCACGCUCACUUCCUGUCACAUUCCUGGCCUCCACCUGCUCACAGCCUUCUCAGAAAGCAAACUCAGCUUCCUGUGGAUCCCUGAAUGGGUCCAUGCUUCUGUGCCUUUGCCAGUUCUGUUUGUUCUUCCUGGAGAUUCCCAUCUUUUCCACCUUUCCCGGUGACCUCUCACUAGGAUGUCUCUCCUGAACCUUUAAUGUAAAGGCUCUCAGAGUCCCUUAUUGCAUAAUGUUCUCAUGGUUGUUAAUCACAUUCCCAUAGAAGUUAAUUUUUCUAUCUUCCCUAUUAGACUUUAAGCUCUUUGGGAUCAAAUGUUAUAACUUUAAAAAAAUUACACAAGUGCUUUCCAGUGCUUAUCAUAGGUGAUUGUCAUUAGUGUUGAAUGAAUCAGUGUAUUUGGGGAAAGUACUAUUUUGAGCUCAAACUCCUUCACUGCCUUAACCUUUCCUCUACCUUCUUCCUUAGGGCUGGAGUGCUCCUUCCACUCGCCUCACCUAGUUAAUUCUUUAUUUACUUCCUCAAGAACCUUCUUUGCUAUCUGGGUAGAUGAUUUUCUUCCAUAUGUGGUCUUGUGUAGCACUAUUAUCAGUUGUGCAUUUAUGUCCAUUUGUAUCAUUCCUUGAAUAAUGUUUGCUUCUCCAAUUAGACUGUAAGCUUCAUGAACAGGGGCUAGGUCUGCUUUUAUUCUUUAUUGCACUUCCACCAUAUGGCUUAGGGGUAGACUCUCAAUAAAUAUUUGCUGGUCGACUGACUAAGUGAAUGAACCCCAGAUACUUCCAGAAUUCAGGACACAAGAAUGGACUGGUCGAGGGUUCAUAGCCCAGCUUUUUUCUGAGUGCAUGUAUGAGGGUGACAUUGCCUGUUCAGAGAAGGUUUUCACGGCCACCUGCAGGAGAGGUGAAAAUGGGGACCACAGCAUGGUGCUUGUUUCAGUUACUGCUCUCCCUUCCUGGCCCAUGGGCUUGGGUCCGAGUCUCAGGGAGAGAAGGUUUGCAGGCACAGGGUGAAGGGCUUCUUUCCAAAAGAGAAACUCAGAUGUAUCAGAUAUACUGCUUUGUGCCUGGUUGUCAUAGUCACACAAGUUGGGAAAAGCAGGGAAUUCUCCUGCUCCCACAGAAUCCAGUUUGCUGCUUUGUGUGCAGGAUGACUGAAUGAGGAUGAACUUGAGUAGUCUCUCUUUGACUUUAGGUGUAGUGCAAACAGCCUGGCACUGCUCUCAGGUAGUUUUGGGGGGCAGGCAUCAAACACAGAGAGGAACUCUGAGAAAAAAAAAACCCGUGCAUGCCCAUGAGACAGUCUGUGGCAGAAAUAACUAAGAUUCUGGAACCCUAUGAACCCUGUCUUGUGCAAAGGGAGUAUAUAGCAGUGGAACUGGAAGCUUUUAAAAUUUUUUUAUUUUGGUCCCUUUAUAUCCAUAGGUUGCUGAGGUCUGUGAAAGUCAGGAUGUGUCAUCGUAGCUCUUUGUGUUUCAAGUUAAGAACUUGCUUCUGAAGUACUUGAAAUUUUACCAUAGGUAUAAUCUCUAGCCUCAUUUUUUUUGGCUGCACCUGCAGCAUGAGGAAGUUCUUGGGCCAGGGAUCGAACAGCUGUGACCCAAGACACUGCAUUGACAACACUGGAUCCUUAACCUGCUGCACUACAGGAGAACUCCUCUAGUGUUAAUUUUUAGUGAUAUGUUUUACUGGCAAAUUUACAUAGUUUAUAGUUUCACGUAUAAAAAGGGCCCUUUAGUUUGACCAUCUGGAAAUAGUACAGAUUAUUAAUGUUAAUUAUUUCUCUUCAAUAUUCUAUUUUUGUGAUCUCAGUUUUCAGCCUUUGGUGAUACAUAUGACCAUCAUUAAUAUUUCAUGUUACAUGAGAUGGCCUCUAGGUCUUCAUUAAGUGAGCUUGUGUUGCCAAAUGAAUAUGUUAAUGUAAAAGAACAAAGGCAUUUUUUGCCUCAAACUUUUUAUCUUAACUUGAUAAUAUUUUCUAUAUUUUCUUCACAUUCAACCUACUUUUAUUCUUAAGCCAUUACUCUGGAAGCUAUCCUUAUUAUCUGUAAGAAAAUUGACAUCUGUGGACUUUCUUUUAUACGAUAACUUAAAUUCAGGUUUCAGCAACAAUUCCUAGAUCCUUUAAACAAAGGUAUUUUACUAGACGCAGGAGAGGCAACCCGAACAGGUGGGAAGGUACCACCCUGCAGAUAAUGAAAGCUUGGAUCUGUUUCUGGAUAUUCCACUGGCUCCCUGGGCCUCGCAUACAGUGAAGGUAAUGAACAGAACAUUAGUAAGCAAGACCAGUACUCGGUUGUAGUGGGUAGGUGGGGGCAGACAUUGCUAUAACAACAUGCACACACAGACACACACAGAUGUGCAUGUGAAGUGUAGGAAAGGCUUGAUGCAUAUCAGGUGGUGAAGGAGGCUGUGUCCCAGACCUUGAGAAUUUCUUCAGGGCUAAGUAGUUUAAGGAAGACUUUUUUUUUUUUUUAACUUUUUUUCCCUUUCCUUCUCUCCCUCCCUCUUUUCCUCCUUCCCUUCCUUUGCCUUCUUUCCUUCCUCCCUUCCUUUCUUCUUUUCUUCCUUCCUUUUCUUUUUUUCUUAAGGUAUAGUUGAUUUACAGUGUUGUGCCAAUUUCUUGUGUAGCCAAGUGACCCAGUGAUAUAUAUAUACACACAUAUACACACACACAUAUACAUAGAUAUAUAUUCUGUUUCUCAUAUUACCUUCCAUCAUGUUCUAUUCCAAGAGAUUGGACAUAGUUCCUUUGCUAUAUAGUAGGACCUCCUGCUCAUCCAUUCUACAUAUAAUGGUUGUUACCUUCUCAUCAAAUUUCUACCUACAGAAAAAAUAGCUUGUUCAGCCUAAUUCUUCACA
rnacentral:lncRNA from 1 species